GUGGCAUCUGCUGGAGUGGCUGUUGCAGUUACAACCUGAAACCAAAACAAACAGUGGGGUAUUUCACACCAUGUAAAUAUUGUGGUCUGGCCACAUUGCUGUCUACACCUAACACAGGGUCACUGAUGUGAAAUUUGUCAUGAACAGAGCUACUGUGCCAGGCAUCUUCUCUCCAAAAAAACAAAUAUGGAAAAAAACCACUACAGAAAUCACACAUUCUCUGUAGAGAGUUGCAGGAGCUCAGCUGAUAUCCCCUUUGUGCACAUCUACAUGCACCAUGUCAGGACUCUUACUGACCAGGCUGUGCAUGAGAUCUCAUCCCAGAAGAAAGAUAGAGAGAAGAAGGAAAGCUCCUUUCAUAGCUGGCCCACAGGUUUAUUGGCAGUGGUGUCCAAAGCCAGUGACAGAUCCUUGCUAAACUUCAUAAAAAAACCAAGGCUAAUGGAUUUUCAGCUGGAUACUCAAAAUAGAGGCUCAAACGUUGUGAUAACGUUUUCGACCAUGUGACUGUUGUGCUGGGUAUAGGGAUUAUAUGGGUAUCUGGAAUCACAGAGAAAGCACUUCUCCUCAGCCUACAAAACAAAAUGAGCAGAAUAAAAGCUUAAUUUGGAUUCUCCAGCAAAAAUUAA